AGAAUCAACGCUGGCGGCGUGCCUAACACAUGCAAGUCGAACGAGAAAGGGGAGCAAUCCCUGAGUACAGUGGCGACCGGGUGAGUAACACGUGACUAACCUACCCUCGAGUGUGGAAUAACAUCGGGAAACCGAUGCUAAUACCGCAUAACAUCGCAAGAUCAAAGGAGUAAUCCGCUUGAGGAGGGGGUCGCGGCUGAUUAGCUAGUUGGCGGGUAAUGGCCCACCAAGGCGAAGAUCGGUA
rnacentral:rRNA from 1 species